rnacentral:rRNA from 1 species
GACGAACCGUGCGAACGUUAUUCGGAAUCACUGGGCUAAAAGCGCGUGUAGGCGGGAGGGCACGUCCGUUGCUGAAAUCCCCCGGCUCAACCGGGGAACGGGCGCGGAUACGACUCUCCUUGAGGGGCGUAGGGGGACCUGGAACUUCCGGUGGAGCGGUGAAAUGCGUUGAGAUCGGAAGGAACGCCCGUGGCGAAAGCGGCUCACUGGACCAUAACUGACGCUGAUGCACGAAAGCUAGGGGAGCAAACAGG